rnacentral:misc_RNA from 1 species
UUACUGAUUUUUCAGUUGAAAACUUAUGUGAACAGCUCUCGCAUGGCUCUUAGUCAACAUUUUUCUCUCCUCUUAUUUAAAUUGUAAAAUUAUUCUCUCUGUACCUGAAAAAUCAUUCUAGUUAUGGUAAGAAAAAUGAUUCAAUUUACACAUAACUUGAGAGAGAAAAGAGAAAUAUUGACUAAGCUCCGCGCUAGAACUAUUCAGGUCAGUAUCUAAUUGAAAAACCGACAAUUAAAGGUUAGAGGGAUUUUACUGUGCA